rnacentral:rRNA from 1 species
GCUUAACACAUGCAAGUCGAGCGAGAAUCGUUUUGCUGAAGGCUUCGGUCUGACGCAGAAUGAGGAAAGCGGCGAACGGGUGAGUAACGCGUGGGCAACCUGGCCUUAAGAAAAGGAUAGCCCCCGGAAGCGGGGAGUAAUACUUUAUGAGAAUAGAAAAGGGCAUCCUAUUUCUAUUCAAAGCGCAAGCGCUUAAGGAUGGGCCCGCGUAUCAUUAGCUAGUUGGUGAGAUAACAGCCCACCAAGGCAACGAUGAUUAGCCGGUCUGAGAGGGCGAACGGCCACAUUGGAACUGAGAGACGGUCCAAACGCCUACGGGAGGCAGCAGUGGGGAAUAUUGCGCAAUGGAGAAGAACUCUGACGCAGCAAUACCGCGUGAGCGAAGAAGGUCUUCGGAUCGUAAAGCUCUGUUAUCAGGGAAGAAGAAAAUGACGGUACCUGAUGAGCAAGUCCCGGCUAACUACGUGCCAGCCGCCGCUGUAA